AAACGAGAUUCCGUAAGUAGUGGCGAGCGAACGCGGAAGAGGGCAAACCGGGAGGAGAAAUCCUUCCGGGGUAUGGACCGCUUUUAGGACUUGAGUUGUUAACCGAAUGGCAUGGGAAGGCCAAUCAAAGAGGGUGAGAAUCCCGUAGGUGAAAACGAUGAGAGCUGCGCGAGUUCCAGAGUACGGCCAGACACGUGAAACCUGGUCGGAAGAUGGGGGGACCACCCUCCAACCCUAAAUACUACCCAGUGACCGAUAGCGUAUAGUACUGUGAAGGAAAGGUGAAAAGGACCCCGGGAGGGGAGUGAAAUAGAACCUGAAACCUUGUGCCUACAAGCACAUAGAGCACAUCAACGUGUGAUAUGGUACUUUUUGUAGAACGGUCCGGCGAGCGAUUGUAUGUUGCGAGCUUAAGGUCUUAAGGACUGGAGGCGUAGCGAGAGCGAGUCUGAAUAGGGCGUUCAGUAGCAUGCAAUGGGCCCGAAACCGGGUGACCUACCCAUGAUCAGGCUGAAGUGAAAGUAAAAUUUCAUGGAGGGCCGAACCGACCUCCGUUGAAAAGGCGGCGGAUGAAUUGUGGGUAGCGGAGAAAUUCCAAUCGAACUCGGAGAUAGCUGGUUCUCCCCGAAAUAGCUUUAGGGCUAGCCUCAUAUUAGAUACCCGGAGGUAAAGCACUGAAUGGCCUAGCGCCCGAGAGGGUAGCGAAGCCUAUCAAACUAAGAAUGCCGGAGUAUUGAUGUAUGGGAGUCAGACAGUGUGAGAUAAAUCUCAUUGUCAAAAGGGAAACAGCCCAGAUCUACAGCUAAGGUCCCAAAUUGUAUCUAAGUGGAAAACGAUGUGGAAAUACGCAGACAACCAGGAUGUUGGCUCAGAAGCAGCCACUCAUUUAAAGAGUGCGUAAUAGCUCACUGGUCGAGCGUCUCUGCGCGGAAAAUUUAACGGGGCUAAGAUACAAACCGAAGCUUAGGCUGCAUCGUAAGAUGCGGGGUAGGGGAGCGUUGUGUAAGCGGAGAAACAGUAGCGUAAGCGGCUGUGGAGUUUACAGAAGUGAGAAUGCCGGAAUGAGUAGCGCGAAUGUGGUGAGAAUCCACAUGGCCGGAAACCUCAGGUUUUUGGAGGAAGGUUCGUCCGCUCCAAGUUAGGCGGGAGCUAAGGUCAGGCCGAAAGGCGUAGCCGAUGCACAGACGGUAGAGAUUCCGUCCCCACCGAAAGAUUUAAGCGCAGGGACACUUUUAGAAGGUCGGAGCCAGGUGUUGGUUCUGGUAGAGAUCGAGGGAAAUUUAGUACCGAAGUCCGGCUGGAUGAGAGGCGAGAAAAGCUGUGUGUAUAUCUAAGGUGCCCGUACCGCAAACCGACACAGGUAGGUAGGAAGAAGAUUCUAAGGCCAACGGGAGAAGGGUUGUUAAGGAACUCGGCAAGUUGACCCCGUAACUUCGGAAUAAGGGGUGCUCACGAGAGUGAGCCGCAGAGAAUAGGCCCAGGCAACUGUUUACCAAAAACACAGGUUUGUGCUAAAUCGAAAGAUGACGUAUACGAGCUGACGCCUGCCCGGUGCUGGAAGGUUAAGAGGAGAUGUGCAAGCAUUGAAUCGAAGCCCCAGUGAACGGCGGCCGUAACUAUAACGGUCCUAAGGUAGCGAAAUUCCUUGUCAGGUAAGUUCUGACCCGCAUGAAAGGCGUAAUGAUUUGGGCACUGUCUCAACAGCCCGCCCGGCGAAAUUGUAGUACCGGUGAAGAUGCCGGUUACCCGCGACAAGACGGAAAGACCCCAUGGAGCUUUACUGUAGCCUAAUAUUGGGUUUCGAUGUUGCAUGCACAGGAUAGAUGGGACACUGGGAAACAAUCGCUUUGGCGGUUGCGGAGUGGCCGUUGGGAUACCAUCCUUGCGAUAUUGGAAUUCUAACCUGCGCCUUUGAAUCAAGGCGGGGGACAUUGUUAGGUGGGCAGUUUGACUGGGGCGGUCGCCUCCUAAAGAGUAACGGAGGCGUUCAAAGGUUCGCUCAGCUUGAACGGAAAUCAAGCAAAAGAGUGCAAACGCAGAAGCGAGCCUAACUGCGAGACUGACGGGUCGAGCAGUAACGAAAGUUGGAGUUAGUGAUCCGGUGGUAUGUGAGUGGAAAUGCCAUCGCUCAACGGAUAAAA
rnacentral:rRNA from 1 species